UACAGAGGGGGCAAGCGUUGUUCGGAAUUACUGGGCGUAAAGGGCGCGUAGGCGGCCUGUUAAGUCGGACGUGAAAUCCCUCGGCUCAACCGGGGAACUGCGUCCGAUACUGGCGGGCUUGAAUUCGGGAGAGGGAUGUGGAAUUCCAGGUGUAGCGGUGAAAUGCGCAGAUAUCAGGAGGAACACCAAUGGCGAAGGCAGCACUCUGGGACGUGACUGACGCUGAGACGCGAAAGCGUGGGGAGCAAACAGG
rnacentral:rRNA from 1 species